CUCCCCGAGGGCUCCUGUAGCUCAGGGGGCAGGCCGGAGCCCUGCGUCCACCCCACGGCCCAGCCGUCCAGUCCCUCGACGGGGCACCCUGUCCUGAGGGGCUCUGCACUGGCCCCCACCGAGGCAGGGGACCCGACCAGCGCCGAGCUCGGCUGGAUGUUACAGGCGUGCAAG
rfam:Heterocephalus glaber contig158402, whole genome shotgun sequence.